CAGGGGCUUCCUGGUGGCUGGUUAGCAGGUGGCCCCCGGGGGCUGGGCUGCUUGUCCACACCCAGCUGUCAAAUGGGGGGUGGAGUUUGCACCGGUGCACCCCCGUUAAGCUGGUAACUUUUUAUUUAAAAAAAUAAGCUCUGUCCCCGCUUCGUCGUGGGCCCUCCCCCCCCCCGGCACUUGGCCAGGGCUCCUCUCCCUCUCCCUGGGACGUUGCCGGCCCCCACUCAGCCCUUGGCCAUUCCCUGGGGCAGAGGCUUGUGCAUGCGGCUUCCAGGGUCUGUUUUGUGGCAGGCUUUGGGGGCGGGGGUGGCGGUGCAGGUGUCUUUGUUAUAAGGCGUUAAUUCACCACAUGUGACCCGUCCCCUUGGUAAGAAUAACCAGCCCAGUCUGUUUUCCUUCCAUCUACGAUCGGGCUCUGGGCUCAUCCCCGGCCCUGCCGGGGCGCUAAGCAAGGUGAUCCCGGGAGUGUGAAGAGUCCAGAGCGCUGAUGAGCCUCAGGAGAUCAAUUCCCAGCACUGCCAGAGACUCAUCAAGUGAAUUUGGGAAAGAGACCACACUUCUUAGCUGUCCCUUCCAUGCUGGGAGUGCUGACUGCUCUGACUACACGGAAUCUAGUACGUUUCAUCGGAUUUCCACUAAUCACCUGAGGUGCAGAGGGCGGGAGGCUACAAAAGGACCCUGCUGAGCUGGUGUUAACAGGAUUUCAACCUGUCUGGCGGUGUUCAGCCUGGAGUUCUGAUAACCACGGAACUGCAAACUGUUCUCAGUGAAAGUCCCCAUGUAGACAAGCACCAAGUCUCGGUCUCCUUUUUGCAGAACCGGACAGUGGACAACGUUUGUGCCGAGGUGGCUUGAAAACCAGUAGGACUUAAGAGCCUAGCAAAAGCGGGAAGGAUGCGGUUGCCCGGAAGCAUCACAUCAGUGGUGAAUGUUGGAACCAAGAGAGAGACAAGGACCCCGAAGAAUGGGAGUGUGGCAGCUCUCCCAAGCAAACUCUCAUUAUAUCAGGAGCCAUAAGGAGGGGCGGCAAAGACUUCCCUCCCACCACUGCCCAGGUGGCUCACGAGAAACUGCAGCCCUGCCUGGAGAAGUUUGCCCCACAGCAACGCAUCAAUCACCACAUCCCACCAGCCCCGCAAGUGACCCGGCAGGAAGCAGCACCUGGGCCUGAAAGGAUGAGGAUGAGCACGUGAGAGAAGGCUAAAAACAGACUGGGGAGCAAAACCAAAUCUCAUGCUGAGCCACACAGAACAACAGUGUCCUUUGUAUUUAGUGAGGCUUGAAACCAGUUCACCCUUCAUUUCUCCCUCCUCCCCCAAGGUUCAGUCAAUGGCUAGAGCUUUUGAGACUCCCUUGUAAAAUAGAGAGAGCUAUGUUUGUUUGCGGGGGGGGGGGGGGGGGGGCAGAAUCAGGGAGCCGGCCUUAGUAAGCUGGAGCAGUCUGUUCAUGUCUGAAGCAAUAUGGAUUGAAUUUGGAUCCCAGCCUUUAAAAUGGUGACGGCUUUCUCUUAAGCUCUCGAAGUGACUCGGAGAAGCAGUAGUGGUUGUCAUGUGGAAUCCAGAUGGCUGAAUGGACAGGUAGCCAGCUGUCCUGCUUUUUAUGUGGUGCAGGUGGGGUCUCCUUAACGGGGACAAGAGGUGCAGUUCUUGGCUGUAGGAGGAUGGGGUGGACGUGCUUGGCAUUGAACACUCGCCAGAGAGGGAGGAAAAGAGGGCUUUUUGUGACUUGCACUGUUUUCUAUGGCUCUGGUGUAGUGACCGUAGACUGAAGGGACAGGGAAUGGGGGAAGGACCAACAAACUGGUUGGCUACAGAGCAGCCUCAGUGACAGCAAGGCUGCUUUUCAGGCUUCACUGGCUAGUGAGAUAACUCGGUGCUUUGAAAGAGAACGCACCUGUUUGAAUUCUGCCUUUUGGAGGGGGCCAGCUGAACUUUGAGACUAAUUACAUGGUUUCGCCUGGUCCCUUCUAAUGCACUGGGAAUUUAUCUUCACACCGCUGUGGAGCUGUUCUUUGUGGCCUGGACUCUGUUUUAUUUCUCUUUCUGUGCCUGUAUGUUUGGGAUUUUUUUUCUACAUUUAAAAAUAGCAAGUCCGUUAGCAGAAGAGUUCAGUAUUAGUCCAGAUUAAUUACCGACUGGUUUGGUUUUGCCUUGCCCUGCCCUGAACGUCGCUUCCAGAGACUGAACUGUGCCUCUACUUUGUUGUUAUGCCGUGUGUAUUUUGACAGACGUGUGGUCAGGAGCUGGGCUCUGAAAAUGCCUGAACUUGAGUGUCAUGUAGCUGGUUCCAGACCCCAUCUGUCAAAUGCUUGUGUGAAGUGUUACUAGUAUCUAGUUAAACCUGGAAUCCCCUCUUCUAAAUUCAGGCAGCAGGGCCCCUAAUUAACUAAAAUUAUCUUGUCUGCAUCAUGCAUAAAAAAUUCUUUCUGGUGAUCUUGUGGUUGGUUUGGUUAAUUGACUUUUUAAAUAAAGGUUUAAAACUGAAAUUCACAUGAAUCCCCUGAGCAGUUAAGUCACUUUUCUCUGUAGUUUGCCAAUGGAGGGCAUUAAAAGCUGGGCCACCCCUGGGCAAGUGGGAUGGUGGGGUAUAUACAGCUUCUUCUCCGGCUGUAAUCUGAGAAGGUUGUUAAUGGACCUCGGCUGUAACAUUCUAAAUGAAGAUCUGAACUUGCCCAAAGAUCCAGGGUUUUCAGAUUGAGAAGCUGGGGUCAGAUCUACCUCUAGCAGGACAGGUCGGCUUUCUGUACCCACACCACGGGAGAGACCGAUUGUAAACUGCGGCCUUGCAGCAGCUCAAUGGUCAGGCAGACUUGGAGGUCUGAUGGAUCUGAUCCAGAGUCUGUCGAAAGGCUCCCAUUGAGUUCAGUGGGCUUUCAGUCAGUCCUUACGCCCUGACCUUGCAGAGACUUGCUUGAGGGAGCGGCAUAUGCCGCGAGACACCCACAGGGCAGGGCAGUAAUUGCAAAAUUAAGAAAUUAGUAUAUCAUUGCUUUCUAGAGUUGCACCUGCUUACCUAGUUGGUAAAUUUGGCCUGAGCUGUAUUAAAAACCCUCUUCUCGUAUAUUUGCCACCUCAAACAGUAUGGUGGUGGUGCAUCCUUUAGAUAUCUCUUAUUGCUACCUGAGGUGUGGGCUGACUUUGAAACUGGUUGAAUGCUUUAGCGCUAGAGAGGUAACUUGCGUUGCUUGGUGAAAGCCGAAAGGAGCCUUAUUCUCUAGGGGCUGAAGCCUAGGGGUGUGGGGGGGGGGCCUUCUGGUGUCACCUGAGGUUUUGUUCCCCUUUGAUUCCAUGCACCUCAGGAUCCUGACUGUGACUCACACCUGACCUGCUCUGUUAUGAAUGGCAAAAAGGAUAUUUUUGUUUGGCCUCGUGUUCAUCCGAAGUAAUACCUGCCCCGGAGCAGGUGACAGUGUGGCUUGUUGACCAGGGAUUUAGAAGAGAAUGCGUUUCAGUACAAAACCUAAAAAAAAAAAACCACCUGCUUUUUAUUCUUGUAUUUGACCAAAGCAAACUCAUGCCUCUGAGCUCUGCCAGGGACUGCACGUGUGCCCUGCAGUUGGGAAUCCAGCCAUUUCUAUCGCUGCAUGCUUAGGGCUUGUUCACUUUUCUCUCCGUUGGUGCUGCUCCCAAAAUGCAGUUUUGCUCGGACCACGUCACUCAGUUAUUUCAGUGACUUGAGAUUGGUUUGCUCACAAGGGAUGGAGACCACUCUCUGUUUCAGGUGCAGUCUGUAUUUUAUAAGACAAAUUGGACGCUGUGGUUGUCCCUGGUAUGUGAACAGACCUUGCAUCACGUGGGUCCAACACGGGGAGCUUGCCAUUAGUGGAAUGGCUCUUUGCAGAGGGGACAAGGGUGUGCCCUUUGAGAGCCCAAAACUGGGCCAGAGCCUGCUGCCUCAUGCCUGUCAGUCAUCACUCUGCGUCCCGAAAAAUGACAAAUGCUGCUGCCCUGUGUCUGCCAGCAGGUCCUAGGGAUUCUCUGCUGAUGCGGUCCCUGUGCAUCAGAGAUCAGAAUCCAGCCCAGACUUUGCAAGUGCACAGCAUGCUUGCAAAACGCUUCAUGUUCAGUUCUGGAUAGCGCUGCGUGCCCGUAGUCAGUUAAGCACCUUAAUUCACGGUUAAAAUGUUAGUUAAUGGGAUGCAAAUUACAAAAAGGCAAUUUUAAAGAAAAAAUCUUUAAGCCUAGUUUUGUUCAGGGCCCUUUGAGUUUUUUAGACUGUGUUGGUUAGAUCAUCUUUUUUACUGAGGUGUGUAUAUAACUGAAUACUUUAUAAGAUGUGGUUGGUCUUUUUAAAUCUCUUAGGUUAUUUUCACUUGUAAAAUAAUGAAGGCUGAUGGACUGAGAAGCAUCUUCCUGUUUGUUUAUUGUUUUUGAUUGAUCCCAUCCACGUCACAGGCCAAUUUCAUUUUACAACAGCAGUAACUCCUUCUGAUUUAACUGUCAUGUCGCCACAGGAUUGUUGAUGUGGUUAAGGGUUAAAAAUAUCCCAGGGUAAAACUGCCAUAGUUAAGUUAUAAGACAAUUUUUAUAAUGGAUAUCAACCCUCAUGCUUUAGGUAAUAAGCCAACCUUGGAGGUUAGGAAUAAUUUUCCUCUGUGUAUAGAUUGUGGGAUAACUGUCCAUCAUGGGGUGUUUUUGUUCUGUUUUUGUUUUGUACCUUCCUCUGUGAUAUCUGACACUGGCCAAAGUCAGAGAUAGGAGACUAAAAUAGCUGGACAACUGGUCUGAUAGUUUCUAGGAAUCCUGUAUUUAAAAAAAUUACCAAAAAUAAAGGUGAAUUCCAGCCAGGAGCAAUGCUGUCGUCAUCUCAUCAUGUGAACAACUUCCACAAAGUGACCAAAAAAUAAGACCUCCUCGUUACUGAAUUUGUUUUAUUAAAGAUAAAAUUGUUAACAGUACAAAAUACCCUCUUACAUAUGCAGUAAUAAAAAAAGGCAUCAGAUUUACACAGUAACUGAGCAGCAUUGAGGCAAAUGGGUUAGAAUAAGGAUAAACACCACUGUUUUAAAAUACACCGGUAAGUUAUUUUACUGUAUUUAUCACCUAUAGGUGAAGGAAAAUAAGAUCUCCAGAUCAAUUCCCAAUUAAGGAUAUUUUACACACCUUUUUUAUAGAGUAAUAUUGAUGUGAAGCUAGGCUGGGCAAAGGAAACGAACCAACAAAACAUCUCUCUAGAGGACUAGAAGGAUCGAACAUUAACCUUUAUGAUCAGUACAAGCUCCAUGUCAUGGAAAAUAUACCGGUGGAGGGAAAAAAACAAGGUGUGUUUUUUAGUUAACGGUAAUGUUACUUUUUGCAUCACUGGCAAAAACUCAUCUUGACACAGUCUGUUUUCAGUUUAAAAUGUGGUUCAGAACAGGUUAGAAAAAAAGGUCUGUCAGGGAUGGGAUGGGUAGGUAGACUUAAGCCUGCCCCAGUGCAGGGAAUGAACUCGAGGAUUCUUGAGAUCCUUUCCAGCCUGACACUGCUGUAAUUCUAUUGGGCCCCUAAAGUUAGGCUCCUGAGUCAAUAUUAGACACCUAAAUAGGUGGCCUGUUUUUGUGUUUUGUUUUUUGAGUAACUAGGUACAUUGAGAUCAACAAUGUCUUCUAUGGAAGGUACAUUUGGUUCUUCGCGUCUCGAGUCAGAAGGGGCCUCUUUGAUCACCUAGUGCAGUGGUUCUCAAACUGUGGGUCAGGAUCCCAAACUGGGUCGUGACCCUAUUUUAAUGGGGUCACCAGGGCUGUCUUCGACUUGCUGGGGCCAAAGCCCGAGCCUCACCACCUGGGACUGAAACCCUUGGUCUUUGGCCCUCUCACCGGGGGCGACAGGGCUCAGGUGAGCUCGGCUUCGAUCCUCCAUCCUGGGGUCAUGUAGUCAUUUUUGUUGUCAGAAGGGGGUCGCAGUACAGUGAAGUUUGAGAACCCCAGACCUAGUGUGACAGAGGCCACAGGACUCACCUGCAUUAAUUCCUCUUGAAAUAGAGCAGAUCUUUUAGAAGAAAAAUCCAAUCUUGAUGUAAAAAUUUCCAAUGAUGGAGAAUCCACCACAGCCCUUGGUGAGUUGAUCCAGUGGUUAAUUUCUCUCUCUCAAAAAUGUACAGCUUAGUUCCAGUCUAAAUUUGUCUAGCUUUAACUUCCAGCCAUUGAAUCUUAUCAGACCUUUGUCUGGUAGAUUGAAGAGCCCUGUAUUAUCGAGAUUUUGUACUCCGCUUUAUGAGAGCUGAAGUGCUCAGCACUCUUAGACAUGUGGCCUGACUUGCCAAAUGCCUAAUGUGGACUUAGAGCCUAACUUAAGGCCCACCACUUGCAAAAGAUCUUGGUCCAAAUGUUUAAGUAUCUGGCUCUUCUGUAUCUACAUAAUUUGUGUGUAACUUUACCCAGCAUUCUGCUAAUAUUCCUUUAAUAAUCUGUCUCAUGUAGGCACUGAUGCCAUAAGGGCUUGAAGUAUGUCCUCAUUUCAGAGAAUGGAAUGAGGAUUGAGAAUCAACAUGGCUUUUAUAAAGGAAAAUCCUCCCUCACCAAUCUACUAGAAUUCUUUGAGGGUGUUCACAAACAUAGGGCAAUCGAGUGGAUACAGGGUAGUUGGACUUUCAGAAAGCCUUCUGACAAGGUCCCUCACUAAAGGCUCUUAAGCAAAGUAAGGAGUCGUAGGAUAACUGGUUAAAAGACAGGAAGCAAACAGUAGGAAUAAAGGGUCAGUUUUCAUAAUGGAAAGAGGCAGAUAGUGGGGUCCCACAAGGAUCUGUACUGGGACCAGUGCUGUUCAACAUACAUUCAUAAAGGGGUAAACAGUGAGGUGGCAAAGUUUGCAGAUGGUACAAAAUUACUCAAGUUAGUUAAGUCUAAAGCUGAUGUGAAGAGCUACAAAGGGAUCUCACAAAACUGGACAACUGGGCAAGAAAAUGGCAGAUGGAAAUUCAGUGUUGAUAAAUGCAAGGUAAUGCACAUUGGAAAACAUAAUCCCAACCAUAGAUGCACAAUGAUAGGAUCUAAAUUAGCUGUUACCACUUAAGAGCAAGAUCUUGGAGUCAUCAUGGCUAGUUCUCUGAAAACAUCUACUCAGCAUGCAAUGGCAGUCAAAAAAGCAAACAAUGUUUGGAACCAUUAGGAAAAGGAUAGAUAAGACAGAAAAUAUAACGCCACUAUAUAAACCCUGGUAUGCCCACAACUUGAAUACUAUGUGCAGUUCUGAUUGCCCCAUCUCAAAAAACAUAUAUUAGAAUUGGAAAAAGUACAAAGAAGGGCAACAAAAUGGAUAUGGGUAUGGAAUGGCUUUCCUAGGCGGAGAGAUUAAAAAGACUGGCCUAAUCAGCAUGGAAAAGAGAUGACUACGAGGGGAGAUGACAGAGGUCUAUAAAAUCAUGCAUGGUGUGGAGACAGUGAAUGGGGAAGUGUUAUUUACCCCUUCACUUAACACAAUGAAAUUAAUAGGAUGUAGGUUUCAAACAAAUAAGAGGAAGUAUUUCUUCACAGACUGCACAGUCAACCUGCCGAACUCAUUUCAGGGAAUGUUGUGACAGCCAAAAUAUAACUGGGCUCAAAAAAGAACGAGAAAUUCAUGGAGGGUAGAUCCAUCGGUGGCUAUUCGCCAAGAUGGUCAGGGACACAACCCCAUGCUCUGGGUGUCCGUAGACCUCCAACUGCUAGAAGCUGGGACUGGAUGACAAAGGAUGGAUCACUCAGUUGCUCUGUUCUAUUCACUCCCUCUGGCACUGGCGGAAGACAGCCUACUGGGCCAGAUGGACCAUCGGUUUGACCCCAUAUGGCCAUUCAUAUGUUGUUGUUAUAAGACUUGAUAAAAUUACAAUUGCAUUUUCUUGGUGACAGUUUUUUUAAAUGAAAAAUGAAUUCGCUUGAACAUGUUUAGGCCAGAAAAAACUUAGGGCUUGUCUCCACAAAUGGUUCUCAGCAAGCCGCAGCGGGACUCUACCCAGCACUUGUCUGCCACAGACUGACUGUUGGCGUAGGCCUUGGUAGUUCACGUUAACCGUUUGUUAAUGUGCUUUGAUCUAGUCCCAUUUCAAAGAGGAUUAGAUCAAAGCACAUUAACAAAACUGUUAAUGCAAAUCUGCGGUGUGUACUCGAACAAAUUAGUCCACAACAGAUUAGUGCAGGGAAGAUUCACCCCCCGGGUUCCCAUAAAUGAAUUGUUUGUAUCGACAAACCCUGUUUCUAGGCAGUACAGCCUUACAGAAUACAUUCAUGUACAAAUUCACCUCUCUUGUUCUACAUAUAGCAACUUUAUCUGAAUAUACAGUACAAGUCAAUCCUAUUGAUGCACCAAAAUAAGACCCUGUAUUAGACUUAUUCCUUGCUCUGGCAAACACAUUGAGAGAUGAUUGGUAGCUUUCCUGAAUAAGGAGAGCAGGAUCAAAC